UUCUAGGUCGUUUAAUGAGAAAUCAGGAAUCCCCCAUCGUUUUGUUCAGUAUCUAAGACCCAGUAUUUUCCGUCGCUUCUGAAACCCCGUCGUUCGAUCACUUAUUCUUCUCCCUGUAAUCGUUACACAUAGAUCCCGGAGUUUCCUUUUUGAUGAUUAUGCUGAUCAUUAUGUUAAUUUUGGGGAUGUUCUACAUGAUUUUGGAAUCUGCUUUGGUUCCCAAGGAAGAUCAGUCGCAAAUUUUUUUGGAACAAAAACCAAAUUACAGAGUAUCAAAAGAUUGGACCUUUACGUCCAUGAAGGGUUGACAUUCUGAAUUGAAAAUUACUUUCAUCUUUAAUUAAGUUCAAAUAGAUCUAUUUGCUUGGAUUUGAAAGUGAAUAAUAUGUGCAGUAUUCCUUCUUCGAUGAAACUCUUGGCUGUUGUUCCAGACUCAAAGUUUAUCAUUCCAUCACUACAGUAUUACCUAACAAAAAAAAAAGAAUGUGAUGUCUCUGAUUCUUUACAAUUCCUUUUAUAGCUAAUUCUCUAACACCAAUAGAAGAACCCAAAAAGAAUAUUCAUUAUCGAAAGUCACUCUUCAUUCCUCCAAAUAUAAUUGCUGGCAAAAAAGCAAGUCUAAUUGUUAGUAUGUAAUCUUUUAAUUCUUGGAGUAGAAUCCCAACCCAACGGCAAUGCUUUUUACUGCUUAAAGUAGGUUUAUGAUGUGAACAAUUUUUCGGAAGAACAUCCAGGACGACAAGAUGUUCAACUAGAAUCUGCAGCGGUUCUUGCAUGGGUGUCUCAAUCGUGCUAAGAUUUUUGAAGCUGCUGCAAAGUUGAUGAAAGAGAUGAGCUCAGAAGGUUUUCAAUAUGACCUCAUUACAUACUCCUCCAUACUCGGGGAUAUCAGGAAAGUCAGCGAGGAAAAUAUACGUACACAUAUCUAACGCUAACUUGAUUUACGAUUCAGCUAAGUGUGCAUCUAUGGAACGCAAGUCGAAGAUGCUAGAGUUAUGUGUUGCUGAUCUAAAGGAUGUCUUUUGUCUCUAACAGAGGUGCAAUUGAGUUGGAGAUUAGGUUCUUUGUAAGCAAAUAGAACUGGGUAUAUACAAAGAAAGAUCAGUUUUGCAGCAAAAACUUUUCUUCAGAUAUCUAUUUGUCUUGCUCCGAAAAUGUUGAAAGAACUGUAAGAAUGGAAUAAAAAUGUUUUUCUUUUUCCUUUA